UGAAGAAUGUAAAUGGAGAAA
rnacentral:piRNA from 1 species